rnacentral:rRNA from 1 species
AGUGAACGCUGGCGGUAGGCCUAACACAUGCAAGUCGAACGGCAGCACAGUAAGAGCUUGCUCUUACGGGUGGCGAGUGGCGGACGGGUGAGGAAUACACCGGAAUCUACUUUUUCGUGGGGGAUAACGUAGGGAAACUUACGCUAAUACCGCAUACGACCUACGGGUGAGAGCAGGGGAUCUUCGGACCUUGCGCGAUUGAAUGAGCCGAUGUCGGAUUAGCUAGUUGGCGGGGUAAAGGCCCACCAAGGCGACGAUCCGUAGCUGGUCUGAGAGGAUGAUCAGCCACACUGGAACUGAGACACGGUCCAGACUCCUACGGGAGGCAGCAGUGGGGAAUAUUGGACAAUGGGCGCAAGCCUGAUCCAGCCAUACCGCGUGGGUGAAGAAGGCCUUCGGGUUGUAAAGCCCUUUUGUUAGGGAAGAAAAGCAGAAGGUUAAUACCCCGCUGUUCUGACGGUACCCAAAGAAUAAGCACCGGCUAACUUCGUG